GACCGUGACGGCACGUGAGUGGUAGAUAACCCAGUGCGUUGGCGGGCCCCCUGCUUAAGUGCAGCUGACCGCGAGUGCGAUGGGAUAUGCUUCGUUCGUGAAAUCCCAAUAUCAUCGGGGCUCCGCACGAUGCGGAGGGCAUAUUCGGUGGGUUGUAUCGCAUAGUCGACACGCGGCAACUUGGUGACCCUACGUUAGUAACUCCAUGUCCUCCUCUCUCUCUCUCGCCCGCCCCCCUCGGACGGGCGGGAAGCGAGAAGCGGCCUCUUACGACGUCCUGUGCACCCUCGGCGGCGCUUGCAGUCGCACGUGUGCGUACGUGCUGCCUGCUUCGUCUGUCCGUCUGGACCCCGGGACGGUCGAGUGCUUACGGAUGCGGUGAAUCGGGUGGGGGUCGGGUGGGCGCACGUUGCGUUGCUGUCGACCCGACGAACGGAAGCUGUUUGCGCACGCCGCGAGCGGGCAAACGAACGGAACGUAAUGAACGACCGCCGGCGGGCAUGCGUGCGUCGCCGUCCAUGGGUUGGCCGCGCCGUCCUGUCCGCGGGCGUCGUCUCAAAGGGUUCGCUACC
rnacentral:misc_RNA from 1 species